CCAGUGCUACUAAAAUUACAAUAAAAGGAUAAGUCCACCAGGACGAAGAGAAUUCGAGAGGCUACCUAAUGAUAAUUGACCUCGCACAUCUGAGGAAGCUGGUUGCUAAGCUAGUAGUGGGGAAAGCCAAGAAGAACCUAAUUCUACUACAGAAUUUCUAAACCCUCGGGACUGGGCACCAGGUAUCUGUGGAUACAGAAAGCGAGGUUCCAAACGGGAAGAUUGGUUGAAAGUCUACCUAAGAAGGAAUUUGUUUCAAUUCCUUCCCCAGAUCUGCACAGAAGUCUGAGGAGACUGAGAGAUGCCAUGAUAGAAGAAGAGGCAGGAGAGAUUAGAAGUAUGAGAAGGACUCCAUUCACUGUUGCUGGCUUUGAAGAUGGAGGAAAGGAGUCAUGAACCAAGACAUGUGGGUAGCAUCUAGAAGCUAGAAAAGCCCUUAACUGAGAGCCAUCAAGAAAAUGCAGACCUACAUUCACAGACCAACUACAAAAUGCAAUUCUACAAUCACAUGAAACUGAACUCUGCCAACAACCUGAAUAGGCAAAGAAAAAUUCUUCCCAAGAACCCCCAGAAAGGAACGUAGCCCUCCAGAUACCUUGACUUUAGUUCGGUAAGACUCACAUUAGACUUCUGAUCCUUAUAACUGUAAAAUGAUACAUUUAUGUUAAGUCACUCCAUGGAAUAUAAAGUGAAGCGAAUUUCCUAGAAAGCAGAACAAAAAACAAACAGCUGGAAAACAGAGGAGAAAAUGUAAGGAAAUUAGAAGUCUAAUCCCAGCAAUCCAAUAUCAAAAAAAAAAAAAAAAAAAAAAAAGCUCAAGAAAGAGAAGGAGGAAACAGAAAGAAAUCACCAGGAAAUAAUUCAAGAAAUUUCUCCAAGUGGAAUGACAUAAUUUUCAGAUUUGAAGGGCUCACUGAGGGCCCAGAACACAACACAUACUUAUUAAAUACAGAACACUGAUGACAAAGAUCCUAUAAUUCCCAGAGAUGAAAAAUAUUUGAUCACUUUCAAAGUAAAAGGAAAAAGAAUGAUUUUGACUUUUAAACAAGACUAGUGGACAACAAAGGCUUACCCUUAAUUUACUGGAGACUCAUUGCUUCUGUGAACAAUCAGAGCAAUGUUUCCAAUGAUGGGAAUUGUACAAAUAAAAAAGACUGUAAGAAACAUAUCACCAAUUCUGGCAAAAGUUAUUAAUAACACCACCUCUGCCCUUGAUGGAUACGGAUCAGUCACAACUCUUUGACACAAGUAGAGAGAGACAAUAGCAUGCCUCUAGAUUUCCUGUUGUCUAGACAUGGGGCCAUUUGUAUUAUCACUAAUACUGCUUGCUGCACUUGGGCCAAUAAAGCAGGUAAAAUAAAAAGACUAAGCAUCCUUUGUAGGAAAAAAGCUACUUGACUUUCUAAGGUUGAUCCUCAAGGCCUAUGGGAUUUGUUCUCUUGUCCUGGGGUGGGCAAUUGGAGUUAUUGGUGUUGAAGUAUCUUACAGGCAACAGUAAUUGUUCUUGUUGUUGUCAGGGUAGUUGUGAUAUUAGUCCACCUUAUUUUCUCCUGUUUUAAAUGCAUCUUCUCAAUCACUCUCUUGCCAGAUGAUCUCUCAAUACACUUGGCUAUGGAGACAACUGGGCAGUUCUCUCUUGGAGAUUGGGUAAAGAUCUGGAUCUCAAGCAUAUCCUGAGUUGGUUAACUUCUCGAUAGUGAGAGAAUGACCAAAAGACAGGCCUGAGAGACUGAGUAUAGAAAUGGACAAUGGUCGGAUUACAUAUGACAACAGAACUCUGAACCACAACCAGUUCAAGAAGCCAAAUCAUUGCAAAUCACAAAUCUCUGCAGCAAACAGCACAAGAACAGUCAGGACUUGGUCAAUGACUGCCAGCUUCCCUAUUUUUUGUCCCUGUUUCUAAAAACCAGAGAAAGCCAAAUAUGCUGAGUGUAUCAAUCAUGUGACUAAAAUCUUUCACUAAAA